UACGUAGGGUGCGAGCGUUAAUCGGAAUUACUGGGCGUAAAGUGUGCGCAGGCGGCCGCGCAAGUCGAGUGUGAAAGCCCCGGGCUUAACUUGGGAAUUGCGCUCGAAACUAUGUGGCUGGAGUAUGGCAGAGGAAGGUGGAAUUCCACGUGUAGCGGUGAAAUGCGUAGAGAUGUGGAGGAACACCGAUGGCGAAGGCAGCCUUCUGGGCCAAUACUGACGCUCAUGCACGAAAGCGUGGGGAGCAAACAGG
rnacentral:rRNA from 1 species